UCUUAAUCGCCAGCGAUUUACUUAGUUUCAUCAGAAAAAACGUUCUUUAAACGCAUGCUUGUCGCUGUUUCGCUCAGUUUUACGCUAUCCAAAAGCUUUGAAGUAAACGGUUUUCUAUUGAUGGAUAGAGGAGACUUACUUGUCGUAUGGUUUGUGGCCCCACAUAUGUGCCACGCUAUUCACGCAGAAGGCUACGUUGAGGGUCACGCAGAACCGGAAAUUGAAGUUCACCCAGAAAGAAGUCGACAAUGAUUCUGACCAGAAGUAACAUGGCACGCUGACCGGAAGCGCGAUGGUCAGCAAGAAGAAUAGUGGAAUAUAGAGUCUACGAAUAAGAAUGGCAUCGAUUAGGUAUCGUGAACUAUUCGAUUUAGUUGGAGGUCACCGGUGCACCCCCAUGGCAUUCAACGUGUUAACCAAUCGAUAGCUCGUUGAUAAUUACCUUGCUGGUCAAGAUAAAGGGUUGAAACUUGACACACAAUGUUUUCGAUUUCUUUAUAAGAUACGAGUUUUCUUACCUUUUCUGCCACAUGAUGAUGGGAUCAGCUUCUAAGUCGCUCAUGUCGAUACUUUUUCGUUUUGCAAUAACAUCGGGGUGUGGCGUCGUGAACAGCCAACCGACAUGGGCGAAGAAGAAACCUCUUUUCGCAUUAUGGGGAUCGGCAUUGGUUUCGCUAUACUUAUGGUGCACCCUGUGGUCCAGCGCCCACGCGUACACGUGCCUCUGUAAAGAGAAAAUACAAAUACCAAAUUUUACCACUUCUAGACAAACUAAUUAACGCACUCAGCACAGCUGGGAAGUAGUUCCCAAAGUAGGUGAAUUUUAAUUUUUUAUUGCAACUCUCAAAUGUAAUCCUCACGCUAAUACUAUAAUUACCAAGACAACACUAUAGCCUCCAAAAUUACCGCGCUAUCAGCUGAAACAGUUAGCUCUGUAUUUUUAGUAUUUUUUAUUUGCCACCCGUAUGGAUGAUUGGUUAGUCUGUAUGAUUUUUAUCAUAUAGAUCAGCAACUUAGGGGAGCAAACAAACUGUUCUGAAAAUGAUAAGGCUUGGAGUUUGGCUUGUUGUUGAAGUCCAAUGUACGUGAACUGUACAUGUUGAUUUGAAAAUAUAUUCAAUUUCAGAACAUUAGAAACUUGAGGAUCAAUUCAAUACAUUUAUAAUUACAUAGGAAGAUCAUUUAAAAUCUAAUAAAUUAUUAUUUGUCAUUAAUAAUUUCAUUUUCUAUGAUUUUCCAACUACGGUACAUUGCACAAAGGAUAAGUUUUAGAACGGCACAAGGGCAAAAGAGGUCUUUGGCUACGUGUUUUGUUUAUAAUUUUGAUUAGUUACGUGUUGACGAAUGGAAAACUGACUAAUUAGACCAGCAUUCCUUUCAGAGAUGAUCUGCUCCGAAACGAAGAGUAAGUAACUUAAAAUAGUAACUUGGAAUGAAUACCUGUCCACUUAUCGUGAAAAGAAAGACCAGAAGCAAUCGCAACGGCCAUUUCGCUUUGUACGCUUUGUGAGCCCAGAGUCUGUGAGCACCGGCGGUUAUACCGAAUGCGGAAGUGUAUAUAGUCACGAACGCUGCGGAAGAGCAUAUCAGAUAUAAUUAUAACUUCUGUUUUAAAACGAUACGUUAUUCGUGCCUACAGUUCUGACUUAAAUCGAGUGUAUGCGUAUUUUUAAUUCGAAUGUAUGGAAUCUAUUAGGACACUGAAAUACACUAAACACUCUAACAUCCUUAACUUUUUUCAUGAAACUCUAUCGAUUUAUUUUUAACGGUUUCCUGCCGCUUGACAAACUGUUCUCGAAUUACAACGUAAGUUUAUACACGAGAACAAUAAAAUGCAGAUAACUGUCGAUUCAUAUAAUCGGUUGACAAUUCCCGCGCAUACUUUUCUGUUCGCAUAAAUAUAUUAUACAAGAAAUCUGUAUAUUUCAUUAAAAAAUUCGUUUUAGAAUUCAAAUGAAAAAUUCAAUUCUUAUUGAUUUCAAAGUCGAAUUAUUCUUAUUCGAAAUUUCGACUUUAAUUUGAAAAUAGUACACUGAAUUUCAAUAAUUUCAGUAAUUUCUUAGUGGCAAUUCAUGAUUUUAUCUGCGUAUGUCAGAAUCUUUCUAAUUAUGUGUAUCAAUCAAUUUUAAACGAGUGAUCGUUAAUCACUGUUAUAACGAGAAAGUGAGAGUUAAUUAUCUAGGUAAUAUACUGAGCAUAGUUCUCGUGAUUUGAAUGAUAUAGAGCUAAAUGCGAUGUUAUAGAAUAAUAAUAAUCGUACAGGAAACGGUGAUAUUCUUGUCUCCGGUAUAUAACUUUUCGUCGCGCUAUUUUUACGACACUAAAUUUCCGUUGAAAGAUUAAUAUUUUAUUGCUCUUCCGUUGCAAACUAAUGACACUAGUUGUUAUUGAAACAUGAUUGCAAUAAUAUCAUAUAUCGAAACUAUGUUCUACAGAAUGAACAUUUUUGUAACAAGAAAAAAUGAAAAAAUUGUAUAUAUUUCUCAGUGAGCUUAAUGUCUGUUAGCCAACUAUUAUCAGCCGGUGUCACGCAAACUUAUAUAAUUACGCUGUUCUCAAGCCUAUCAUAUUAUUAUUCAUAAAUUAAAACACUCAUCUGUAAUAUUUUUUCUUUGGUGAUAUUACCUAAAAUUUCAUUUUAGAAUCGAUGCUAAAAUUUAUUAUUGGGACACAACAUUUCUUUACUCGAACGCUUACCCCAUAGACUAGUAAGAAGCUUUGCUUCCGUAAACAUGAGCCAAAGUCCAUAAAUACCACCACCAUGAAUGAAAGUUUGCGCUAUUAAAUCUGGCCACAUGAGUCGAGGAACAUAUUCCGUUCUGCUACUCCGAUAAGUCUCAUCAACCGUCAAAAAGUCCUCAGUCUCUGGCAGUCUUUCGUUUUUCGAAUUUGUUUCUUUACUCUUCGGCUCCGAAAUGUGCUGCAUUAUGGAAGGGACGCGGUCCUUGCUUGUGUGAAAUGACGCCAUAUUUUCUUUCAUUCUCGAGGGAUCGACUCAACUUAAUUCUAUUAAUUUCUUCGCCCUUAAUCUAACAUUCUUCUCAUAUUAGUUCGAUCUAGGAGCUGUUACGGAUGAUUCUGUAACCACAAUAUUAUUUAUAUUUAAUUAUACAUAAAAAUUGUGAAUUAAACAUUAUUGACAUAAUAGUUACAAAUUAUGGAUACAACAAUUAUAAAUUCUUGAUUGAAAUGUGUCGUAUUAUAAAUAUGUCACAGGAGGUGCACUAACAAUGCAGGAGAAAAGCAUGAAUGAAAUUUAUAAUUUAUCGUCACUAAAAUGUUGAUUUUAUGUAUUUAUUGCGUAAAUUUAGACAAUAUAAUAUAUAUAUCCGAUAUAGACACUAUAUAGUGCGUCUAAAUAAAUGAAAACAGAAAUAUCUAUUUGCACAACCACAUUUUGCUUGAUUAAGGAGAAAUUCCACGUUAAGCACAUUGUGGAAACGCUGUCUAAAAACAAUUAAAGCAAUAAUAUUGUUUUUCAAUCACAUUUUCAUAAAUCGAUAGUACACUGAAUAAUAGAUCUGCGCUCGUUGAUUUGCCGGUAAAAACUGUGAGUGA